rfam:Ovis aries breed Texel chromosome 13, whole genome shotgun sequence.
UCCCUGGUGGUCCAGUGGUUAGGACUCCAUGCUUUCACUCCUGAGGGUCCAGGUUCAAUUCCUGGUCUGGGUA